CGCGGGGUGGAGCAGUCUGGUAGCUCGUCGGGCUCAUAACCCGAAGGUCGUUGGUUCGAAUCCAGCCCCCGCUA
rnacentral:tRNA from 1 species